rnacentral:rRNA from 1 species
GACAGAGGUGCCGAGCGUUAGGCGGAAUCACUGGGCUUAAAGCGUGUGUAGGCGGAUCUGUAAGUACCUUGUGAAAUCCCACGGCUCAACCGUGGAACUGCUUGGUAUACUGCGGGUCUUGAGCCACCUAGGGGCAAGUGGAACAAACGGUGGAGUGGUGAAAUGCGUAGAUAUCGGGAGGAACACCUGUGGCGAAAGCGGCUCACUGGACCACAACUGACGCUGAUGCACGAAAGCUAGGGGAGCAAACAGG